rnacentral:lncRNA from 1 species
CCAGGGCAGGAGAAUGACAUCAGACUGGGCUUGUGCCUGAUAAUUCAUUUCUGAAGGUGCAAUAUUAAGUGUCACAGUGUCCAGCUGGUGAUAUUUUCAGCAUAGAAACCUGUUAGACACGGCAGCAUUAACGAGAUGGAAUGAAUUGAUUUAUUUCUCUUCUGAAUUGCUUGGCAGUGCUUCAAGAUUGACGCAUCAGAUUUGCACAAUGUGCCACUUUAGGAGAUUAUUUCUUCCUUCCUUCAGCCAGACAGAAGACUGCAGUAGGGCAAUAACAGAGAAAUAGAGGCCACCAUCUGUGUGAAUACUUCACUGUGAUUAUCUCUCACCAUCAUCAAAUAGUUCAGAGCACUGAUCCUCACGAGUUGGACAUUUCCCCAUGAAACAGUAGCCUUCUGAGUUCUUACAAGGAAAUCCAUUGACCCUGAACUGGUCCUUAGGACAGGCAGGCGAGUGGCCAGUGCACAUCUCAGGAAAAUCACAUUCAUCUUUCGCCGGCCUGCAUAUGGACCCUGCUUUUUUUAUCUGUUGAGGAAAAACAAAGAGACUAAAUCCUGGAUACAUUUAGGGUCGUACUGCUUCCCUGUACUGAAGUGUGAUGUGAGACUAUUCAGCUGCUGAAGAUCUGAUUUUACCUUUUGCUCAAGCUGCCCAUUAUUUCAGGCUGACUUUUAUUUUUUAAAGUAUCAUUAAAUAACAUCAAAAUGGUAACUUCUGCCCUAUUUUCUCAAAC